rnacentral:tRNA from 28 species
UCCUCCUUAGCUCAGUUGGUUAGAGCAUCUGACUGUUAAUCAGAGGGUCCUUGGUUCGAGCCCAAGAGGAGGAGC